rnacentral:rRNA from 1 species
UACGAAGGGGGCUAGCGUUGUUCGGAAUUACUGGGCGUAAAGGGCGCGUAGGCGGCGCGGGAAGUCCGUGGUGAAAGCCCGAGGCUCAACUUCGGGUCGGCCAUGGAUACUCCUGGGCUUGAGCACUGUAGAGGCAGGUGGAAUUCCGGGUGUAGCGGUGGAAUGCGUAGAGAUCCGGAAGAACACCGGUGGCGAAGGCGGCCUGCUGGGCAGUAGCUGACGCUGAGGCGCGACAGCGUGGGGAGCAAACGGG